rnacentral:tRNA from 1 species
GGAAGGAUGGCCGAGCGGUAAGGCACGCGGUUGCUAUCCGUGAGUCUGGGUAACACCAGCGGGGGUUCGAGUCCCUCUCCUUCCGCCA